AGCUUUGCGCAGUGGCAGUAUCAUAGCCAAUGAGGUUUAUCCGAGGCACGAUUAUUGCUAAUUAAAUUACCUCAAAAUUAAAAUUCCAUUCUCAAAAGACUAUAAAUUUAAUGCAGUUAUAAAAUAAUA
rnacentral:snRNA from 1 species